rnacentral:lncRNA from 1 species
AUUAUUCCCAAGUGACUGGAACGAACAAGGUGGCCUGCUUGAGUUGCCACCAGCGGCUUGUCUUUUCCACCAGCAUGUAAGUAGCAAGGAUGACUCUCUGUUCGGGAAUCACCCUAAGAGUCGUGAAGGUCUUCUCUGUCUCAGCUAACCAGAACUCGACCUCUUCAAAGGAGGAUCACCCAUAAAAAGUAGAUGAGUUUAGUCUUU